UACGAAGGGGGCUAGCGUUGCUCGGAAUUACUGGGCGUAAAGGGCGUGUAGGCGGAUAGUUUAGUCAGAGGUGAAAGCCCAGGGCUCAACCUUGGAACUGCCUUUGAUACUGGCUAUCUUGAGUACGGGAGAGGUGUGUGGAACUCCGAGUGUAGAGGUGAAAUUCGUAGAUAUUCGGAAGAACACCAGUGGCGAAGGCGACACACUGGCCCGAUACUGACGCUGAAACGCGAAAGCGUGGGGAGCAAACAGG
rnacentral:rRNA from 1 species